rnacentral:rRNA from 1 species
GCAAUCUCAUAAACCGUGGCUCAGUUCAGAUCGUAGGCUGCAACUCGCCUACGUGAAGGAGGAAUCGCUAGUAAUCGCAGGUCAGCAUACUGCGGUGAAUACGUUCCCGGGCCUUGUACACACCGCCCGUCACACCAUGGAAGUUGGCCACGCCCGAAGCCGUUACUCCAACCCUUGUGGAGGAGGACGUCGAAGGUGGGGCUGAUGACUGGGGUGAAGUCGUAACAAGGUAGCCGUACCGGAAGGUGCGGCUGGAUCACCUCCUAACA